UUCUUGACUUGCUCUUCAUGGCGGGCUCUUCGCGUUUUCGCGCGACCAACCGACGUGGGGCUGUCUCUUCACUCUCCCGGCCGUCAGCAAAAUUUGCUGGGUUGGGAUGCUUGUCAUCGGUUGCCUGUGUGGUUUUACCCUUUUGUAGGUAGCGAUGUCGUCCCUUGAUGGAUAUUUGCUUGCCCCGGCUGACAUUGUUUUGUCGCUUCGGUAGCCGAAAUGUCGGUGGAAUCCUUGUGUCGUUGCGUGGGCGAAUGCCUUGUUACAGUCACUUGGAUUUUUGCCGGCUCUCACGGAUGUUGUGCCCCAUCGUUAGCUCUGCGGGGCUCUGUCCCACAGACUUCGGGAGGUCCCUUGCAUGGAUCAUUGCUCUUGCGCUUGAUUGUCAAAUCUGCGCGUGAGGAGCGUGCUGACGUGCAUGUGGAACGCCUCUCCGAUCGUAUGAACAGCGAUUGUCGGUUUGCGUCAUGAGAAGGGCCUCCCGUUCGGGUUGGUGCUGGAUCAUUGCUCUUGCCGACUAUCGUUUAAGACGUGC
rnacentral:misc_RNA from 1 species